UGGAAGUUCAUGUAUUUUUCCCAAAAGGGU
rnacentral:piRNA from 1 species